GUGAUUCUCAGCCCUGUGGGAAGAACUAUGAAUCAGAGUUCCUUGGUUUCAACAGGUAAUCAAAGGAAAAACUUUGCUUAUUUAAAGUACUUCACAACUACAUAGCAUCUGAUCAACAUCUUUGAUGCCUGGCUUUGGGUGGAGAGUGAAAUUUUAAGUCUCACUUGCUAUUAAAAUCAAAGAAUAAAUUUGUAGAUGGAAAGUUACCCCUGCCUUCCACAGCCUUCUUGGUAACCUUUCAAUUACUAUGACAAUUGUAAACAAACAACUUGAAACAAAUGGUCAAAUCAACAAGACCAGGUUCAUGACCUCUACAGAACUGCAGCAGCUCCCUCUGUUCUGAAAACCACAUGGGGGAAGAUGUUUAAGCUAACUUCAGUGAGAAUGUUCUCUGCUCUUGAGAAAGUCUGUUCUGGAGAAGAUUCAUAUUGGCUUUCAAGACAUUUACAGUGAGUUUUUGGCUGAAAUGACUAAUGUUGAAGUCACGUAAGGAAUGAAUUGUGGAAAGCCUUAUGUUGCUGAUACCUCUGCAAACAUAGUUUUCACAGGUAUGGAGUUACAACACAACCUCAUCGGACUGGAGUGGAAGGAGAAUACGAUGCAUAUCUGCAGGAAGAUGGCAUAAAAGUUUUAAAUUUCCACAACAAUCAGCUCUUAAAAACUUCCUGAAAACUUUGAAGGAAUAUCAGUAUACUGUAGCGCCCUCCUACAAUUCAUGCGGCAGUCCUUCCUGGAUGGAAACAAUUCCUUACUUCCAGGAACUAUGAUUCUGCUUGAACAAAAUUGCUUUUAGUGAAUGAUAGAUGUGAAUCUCCAACUCCUCCUUCAAGCACCUGACAGACAGAACUGCAUAUCAAACCAAGUUAAGCUGAUGAUUUAAACAUUUUGCCUAUCUGGAACUUUAAUUAUCUCAUCAUCUCCUUAUGUUUCAUUAUUAUGAAGCUGCAAGAAAUGACAACAACUAGAGAAGAGUGGCUAUAUAAACCAAAUACAACUUCAAGAACCAAAUUUAAAUGGAUGUAUUAUAUAUCCUAACACUGAAACAAAGCCAGACUAUUUUUUUAUGGCACUGAUUAUAAAUUAAAGUAGACUGAAAAUUUCAGGAGUCAGAUAACCUUUUUCCAUAUGCUUAAGUAAGGGUGUUUACUCCAAAACCAAAGUUUGUAUCCAAAAUUUAAAUGAUGCCACUGGCAUUCAGUAUGAAUUGAGCUGGAGUAGGUUUCAACACAGAAGGAGGAUUUGAAAAGCAGUCAUUUUAUUUUCCUUUCUCUUUUCUUCAUUCUUUAUGAAUUCAGCCAAGAUGUAUUGUAUGUAUCUUUUUCAGUGGCACCCUUUGUUUUGUGGAAAACAGUGAUUUUAGAAAUAUACAAAAAAUAAAUACGUUUAAAAGUUCAGAAAGACAGUUAGUGAUGAUAUUUCUGGCAUGGAGGGAGAAACAAUAUUUUUGUAUCAGACUGCAGUGAAUUAGAGUAAUUAACAUUUUGAGUAAUCUGAUUAUCUUUAUAACUGUACUGAUUCUCAUUAAGAAACAAAAACUAUUCCUGCUUCAAUAUUCUCUACUUCUUGUAUGCUAAGUGAAAAUAAUUUCAUGGGGAGAGACACAGUUCACAUUAAUAUAAAUGUCAGAAACGGUUUAAGUGUUCUGUGCCCUUAAAAUCCUGCAGAAAGUCUUUAGAAGGUUAAAAACAAACAAACCAACCAAAAACCCCUACUGCUACCUAAAUUGUAUGAUAUGGUGAUUUAGUCCUGAUGUACCAAACUCUGCAAAAGUUAUAUAAGAAAACUCACAGUGAAUUUCCAGAAGAUGCCCAAGCAACAAAUAUCCUUCCCCAAGAAUGCAAAAUUGGACCCUUGAGUUUUAAAAAAUCUCUUUGCUUUAGGUUUCUAACAAGAGUAUUCAAAGAGUCAAUGACGGCAUUAAUUUCAUUUUCCAUCCUGAGUUCAGAUUUUAGAUGCUUUUAUGUCUUUUGGAACAUAUUGCUCUCAGUCUGACUUUUUAAACAAGACAGCUUAGUUUUGUUUAGAUUUCAGUAAGCAAGUGGCCAUAACAAAAUCUUACACUUUUACUGGAAGUCAAUGGAAAUUGAAGUCUGAAGGAAAACAUUAGGAUGUGCCUUACCACUUGUACUUAAUUCCCAGGAUGUUUAUCCUGCACAGCUAACUCAAGUGAUUGGCACCUAUGUCUGAACUGGCAGAAUAGCUCAGCCCAAGUACAAGGAUUUAUAAUAUGCCCUUGAUAUUUCUACACAUCUCAAGUCCAUACCAAAGUGCUGUUUAUGAUGAGAAGCUUUAAAAUUCUUCCCCACUAAGAAAGUUCAUUUCUACUAUGGGUGUCUUUGUCCAGAAAAUUUGCUGAACAGAUAUAACAGCACUCCAGAGAUGAUUUGUUAAGCACCAUCCCUUAGUAAAAUUCAGCUUGGUCUUUAACUUAGAUUUCCCUUAGUUUUACAAUCAGUUAUGCAAACUGCCAUGAACAAGGACCUAAGCUCUUUGCACAGUAGGAAAGAAAGAGAGCACAGUCAUGUACUGAGGUUAGAACCGUAAAGACGAAUGUAGAGAUGACAUAAUUAGGGAGAAAUUGAGGAGAGUUUAAACAACAAGGUUGAGUUCUGAAAAUCACUCAGUUGUAUCAAUAAGCUGGCAGAACAAAUCAGUUCAAAUCAGCUGUAGAGGCAAAGCACAGCUUGAAUGGCCAAUUGAUUCACUGGGUCAUGAUGCACUCAUUAGAUCAACCUCAUCCCAGCUUUCCUGAGAUCUGCUUACUGAAGCUUGGAGACC